rnacentral:rRNA from 1 species
UGCGUGGGCGGACUAAUAAGUCAGUGGUGAAAUCUCUCGGCUCAACCGGGAAACUGCCAUUGAUACUGUUAGUCUUGAGUUCGGUUGAGGUAGGCGGAAUGUGUAAUGUAGCGGUGAAAUGCUUAGAUAUUACACAGAACACCAAUUGCGUAGGCAGCUUACUAGACCGACACUGACGCUGAGGCACGAAAGCGUGGGUAGCGAACAGGAUUAGAUACCCUGGUAGUC